rnacentral:rRNA from 1 species
GGCGGCGUGCUUAACACAUGCAAGUCGAACGGAAAGGCCCUGCUUUUGUGGGGUGCUCGAGUGGCGAACGGGUGAGUAACACGUGAGUAACCUGCCCUUGACUUUGGGAUAACUUCGGGAAACUGGGGCUAAUACCGGAUAGGAGCUCCUGCUGCAUGGUGGGGGUUGGAAAGUUUCGGCGGUUGGGGAUGGACUCGCGGCUUAUCAGCUUGUUGGUGGGGUAGUGGCUUACCAAGGCUUUGACGGGUAGCCGGCCUGAGAGGGUGACCGGCCACAUUGGGACUGAGAUACGGCCCAGACUCCUACGGGAGGCAGCAGUGGGGAAUAUUGCACAAUGGGCGGAAGCCUGAUGCAGCAACGCCGCGUGCGGGAUGACGGCCUUCGGGUUGUAAACCGCUUUCGCCUGUGACGAAGCGUGAGUGACGGUAAUGGGUAAAGAAGCACCGGCUAACUACGUGCCAGCAGCCGCGGUGAUACGUAGGGUGCGAGCGUUGUCCGGAUUUAUUGGGCGUAAAGGGCUCGUAGGUGGUUGAUCGCGUCGGAAGUGUAAUCUUGGGGCUUAACCCUGAGCGUGCUUUCGAUACGGGUUGACUUGAGGAAGGUAGGGGAGAAUGGAAUUCCUGGUGGAGCGGUGGAAUGCGCAGAUAUCAGGAGGAACACCAGUGGCGAAGGCGGUUCUCUGGGCCUUUCCUGACGCUGAGGAGCGAAAGCGUGGGGAGCGAACAGGCUUAGAUACCCUGGUAGUCCACGCUGUAAACGGUGGGUACUAGGUGUGGGGUCCAUUCCACGGGUUCCGUGCCGUAGCUAACGCUUUAAGUACCCCGCCUGGGGAGUACGGCCGCAAGGCUAAAACUCAAAGGAAUUGACGGGGCCCCGCACAAGCGGCGGAGCAUGCGGAUUAAUUCGAUGCAACGCGUAGAACCUUACCUGGGUUUGACAUGGAUCGGGAGUGCUCAGAGAUGGGUGUGCCUCUUUUGGGGUCGGUUCACAGGUGGUGCAUGGCUGUCGUCAGCUCGUGUCGUGAGAUGUUGGGUUAAGUCCCGCAACGAGCGCAACCCUUGUUCACUGUUGCCAGCACGUUAUGGUGGGGACUCAGUGGAGACCGCCGGGGUCAACUCGGAGGAAGGUGGGGAUGACGUCAAGUCAUCAUGCCCCUUAUGUCCAGGGCUUCACGCAUGCUACAAUGGCUGGUACAGAGAGUGGCGAGCCUGUGAGGGUGAGCGAAUCUCGGAAAGCCGGUCUCAGUUCGGAUUGGGGUCUGCAACUCGACCUCAUGAAGUCGGAGUCGCUAGUAAUCGCAGAUCAGCAACGCUGCGGUGAAUACGUUCCCGGGGCUUGUACACACCGCCCGUCAAGUCAUGAAAGUUGGUAACACCCGAAGCCGGUGGCCUAACCGUUGUGGGGGAGCCGUCGAAGGUGGGACUGGUGAUUAGGACUAAGA